rnacentral:ncRNA from 1 species
CGAGCUGGACGACCUGCCCGUCCUGCAUGUCGACGGCGGGGACGACCUCG